rnacentral:rRNA from 1 species
AUUGAACGCUGGCGGCAGGCCUAACACAUGCAAGUCGAGCGGAGCGGCGGACGGGUGAGUAAUGCCUAGGAAUCUGCCUGUUAGUGGGGGAUAACGUCCGGAAACGGGCGCUAAUACCGCAUACUCUCAGCUUAGCCUAGGUCGGAUUAGCUAGUUUUUGGGGUAAAGGCCUACCCAGGCGACGAUCCGUAACUGGUCUGAGAGGAUGACCAGUCACAAUGGAACUGGGACACGGUCCAGACUCCUACGGUAGGCAGGAGUGGGGAAUUGUGGACAAUGGGCGAAAGCCUGAUCCAGCCAGGCCGCGUGUGUGAAGAAGGUCGGCGGAUUGUAAAGCACUUUAAGUGGGGAGGCGUGACCAACAGAAUAAGCACCGGCUAACUUCGUGCCAGCAGCCGCGGUAAUUC